rnacentral:rRNA from 1 species
UACGUAGGGGGCUAGCGUUGUCCGGAAUCAUUGGGCGUAAAGAGCGUGUAGGCGGCCCGGUAAGUCCGCUGUGAAAGUCGGGGGCUCAACCCUCGAAUGCCGGUGGAUACUGUCGGGCUAGAGUGCGGAAGAGGCGAGUGGAAUUCCUGGUGUAGCGGUGAAAUGCGCAGAUAUCAGGAGGAACACCAAUGGCGAAAGCAGCUCUCUGGGACGGUACUGACGCUGAGACGCGAAAGCGUGGGGAGCGAACAGG